AUUGUAAGUUCUCAAGAAGGUUGUCCAUGCUUUGCAAUUUCCGGUAUGGCCAUCGUUUAAUUCCCAAUUUUGUACACAUUCUCUUCAACUUAUCUUCACUUACAUUGAGCUCCCUUGCUGCUUGGGCUGCGGGUACAACUGGAGGCGCCUCAAGUGAAACAUCGUUCUGGCCACAUAGCAUGUCAUUCACAAGACCCCAGUCGAAAUCUAAUUGUUCGGCGGAGCAACAACUUUGUUGAAUUUGGUGUAAAGUUUUACCUGUUGUAGAUGAAGUUGGAUUAUUGAAGUGAUAAUCCAAGGGGUGGUUUUCAGCAUGAUUAAAAAAAGGACGGUAAUCUUGUUCAGGAGAAGAAAUAGGAAUUUCUUUAUCAUCCUCAUCCUCUAACUUCAAGAGUUUUAUUCGAGGCCAUCGGGAAAUUCCUAAUAUCCUGCACCUAUUCUUUAAUGUUGUGACACCAACCUUUAAUUGUACCGCUGCUUCACUAAUCGGAAGAUGGAAAUAACUUGAGAUCAUUUCCUUAGUGAUCGUUCUUGAAUCA